CGACGGACGAGCGUCUUGAACUUAUGCUCGAAUCGAUCGAUUUUUUCGGACUGAAAGCUCGGGAUAUUUGAAAUGCUGUGGGCGGGAAGUGCGCGUGGUGCGGGAGAAAACGCCCGAGGCUGUGGGGAUUCCUGCAUUAUAAUAUUGAGUUAAGUUUUUAAAUUAAUAUUUGUCUGUUCUUUUAUUUGUCUUUGACAUGUUAGCUCUGAUUUCAUGCAUAUGUUUGCCCAAAAUGAUGAUCUAAACCUGUAAUUAAGACAUAUUGAGCUAACGUUACAUUUACCUAACUUGGUGUUUUUCUUCGUCCAGGGGAAAAUGUUAGGAUUUUUUUUUAGUAUAAAUCAUGAUCAUGAUUUUAGUAGAAAUAGUAGAUUAUAAUAGUAGUAUCUGCACAACUAAUUAAUUGACCUAGCAAACAACUUUCGACCAGUAAGUGCUGUAAAAAUGUUUCUCCCAUUAGGACCUAAAGCUUUUCAAUGAUGUUUGAUGACUGAGGACACUUUUGAAAUACAUGACUGAAAACAUUCACCUGAGAAGAGUGUGUCCUGUAGGCCCUUUUUUCCUGAAAGUCCUGAAGACCUCAUCAACGAGUACCUUGCGAUUUGAACGAUAACUAGAAAGAUGAUUGUGAGGGUGACCUUGAGCAGCUCUUUGUGGUGGUGUUCAUUAUUCUGAAGGAGGGGGAGAACUUCAUGAACCACCUGCUGACAUUGGCAUUGUGAUUGAGGGAGUUAAAGUUUUGAAUCAACUGACUUCAGUCACAUCAGCUUGUGCCCUGCUUCUGGAUGCUUUGCAACAAGUAAAGGCUGAGGAAAAAGGAGGCCUCAAAGUUUGUAUUUGCUGUUUCUGCAAAACUGGCUCCGUUUAUGCUCCUGAUCAGCUUGCGGGCAUUGCUCGUGGUGGAAAUCCCUGAGUUCGUCAGAGUAUCAAUUUAAUGAAUAAGGACAUACGUUUUGCAUUAGAAGAGUAGCUUCAAUCCUUGAAAAGCUUCAAGUCCUGAACAGUGAACUGUGGUAGUGUUUCAGUUUGUAGUGCUGUGUUUCUGUCUUUGUUGGUGAGUUUCCAUGUAUAUUUACCUCCAUUUUACAGAUGCAGGUUGCAUUUGUUGUCACGGUUUUCCAGGCUUUUUCCAAUGACUAAAAUGCAUGUCUGAGCUGUUUUAACUGAAAGUAACUUGCACUGACAUCUUAAUUUGUCUGUGCUAUUGUUUUGUCUCAAGAUGAACACCAAUAAUAUAUAUUUUUUUUUUUUACUACUUAACCCCUUUCACAGACAAGGCUUAAACCUAGUCCCAGACUAAAAUGCAUGUCUGAGCUGAAAACAUAUCUUAAAAUAUGUCACUGCCAUUGAUUUGUCUCAAGAUAAACACUUUUCUAAGGCAUGUCUAUAAAAUCUACUUAAAUAAUUGAACUAAGGUCUGAUCCUGGCUUAGCCUAAGCCCUGUCUGUGAAAUCAGGUCUAUUUGUUUGUCACCAUGAAAUGCCAUUUUUACAGCCACUUGUUUUACCUGAAUGUGAUGUUAAUUCCUGUUGAAACAGUGUUUGGUUAUAAAUAAAUACAUUUGUAUGUAAACUGAAUUUUUCAUUAAAACCAUAUUAACUGCA